UGGAGAUGUUAUCGAUUUCUUACAGUACAUGGCAACAUAGAUGGUGCAUUAAGCUUCGGAAACAGAAAUCCUCAACAAUAUUCACGAAGAACAAAACGCACAUAUAUCAUGAUCUAUGCUAUAAGUGCUUCUGUUCUCAGUACUGCAAUAUCAAAUGCACAAGAACAGAAACAUACAGUACCAAGAUUAUUUAUGCGGUUUGCUAUCUCCUAUAUGGCGCUCGGAUAAAUUAGUUUUCACAAGCUGUGCUAGAUACAUGGUAUGCAUUUUCUCAACAUGUUUCUCUAUUCUUUCUGCAUUUUGUUUAGAGGACUAUUUUCAGCCAAGGUCAGAAAAGAAAUAGGUCAUACCAUUAUACGGCAUCAUGUCCACUUUCUGCUACUCUGAACAUUCCGACGUUCGGCCUGACGUACUGAAUUCCGUAGGCUUCGGCUGAUCUAGAGAUACCCCUUUUCUUUGCAGCAUUGGAUGGCUCCGUCGAACAUGUCCUCGAUCCUGUACUUAUACUCAAAACCGGCGUCCAACAGUUUCCUUGACGAUAGGCGGGGGAACCUGGGGCCUUUCAAUUCCUUCAAGGACCUACAAAGAUUUGAAAAGCUUUGCUUUCAGUCCAAGAACAGCAAGAAUCCGUUACAUCAUGAAAUGGGAUAUAUCAGGACUUACUCUGGAGAGGGUAUCUGAAACUCCGGGUAUCUUUCCGAGAGAAACUCGGACAUCUCCUCGAUGGUCAUCGUGGCCGAGGUACAAAUGUACCGCCCCUUGGUGUCGGGGUGCUCCAAGAGGAAGAUGUGUGCUCUUGCCAAGUCGUCUACAUGCACGAAAGAUACUUUGAGAAGAAGAGAGUACUCAUUCUCGUUCCCUGUUAAUUUCGAACAAAGUCAAUCUAAGAUUUGAGAUUCUUUGUAUCAUCGAAAUGAAGAUAAACAUAUGGAUGGACAGAUUAUAGUCCUGUCUUCCUUUGUCAUAUACUUGACAUUGAGCAGAGAAACGUUGUCAAAUUAUGGAAUUCUGGUAUCGUUCUGGUGACCAAAACAAUCAAAUUGAUCAUGAAUUUGACUGCAGUACCAAAGGUGUAUCACGAAAAGUUAAUGUAAAAUCAAUAGAUCAUGGAGAUCAAUAUUAUAUGAACCAUAGUUUCUCUGUAAAUUUCACAUGAUCAACAGUUCAGAUAGACUUGACUGACCAUAUAUAUAUUGAUCGUAUGAUAUUUUCUCACGUAUCACAUUACCUAAUACCAAAGCCAGCGAAACUCGGACGGAUCCAGCGAACUUGGGGCAAAUGAAGGGCCCGUGGACAAACGUGGGAACCACCGUCACCACUUCCAGUCCGUGCUGCUCUCCGAACUCAAGAACCGCCUUCUCAGUCAAUGUCUUUGAGAUUGCGUAGGAAGAUCCAAACCUCCCCAUUUCUCGGAUGGACUCAACAUCGCUCCAGGAGUCCUCAUCCAAUAUAUAGGCCCCAGAGUUAUUAUAUUCAAUUGCAGCCGCACUCGAAGUGUACACGACCCGCUUCACUGUCUUGGAGUUCAGGCAGGCCCUCAGGAUGCCCAAUGCUCCAUCGAUGGAUCUUUUGGUGACGACUGGCUCUGGCUCUCUGUCCUCGAAGUCCACCGGGGUGGCAACGUGGAAGACUCCGACACAGCCCUUGAUGGCUGGGCUGAAACUCUCGGGGUCACUGAGUUCAGCGGUUAGGAUUUGGAGCCUUUCUGAUGCUCCUGGUAGAUUUUUCAAGAAGCUCGUGUCCCUUUUGCCAUCUGAGCGGAACAAAUUGGUCAAUCGCCUUGCGAAUAAAAGCUCAAACAUCUAAUGGGAAACUGAUGUGUGAGGUUGACUGGAGAUAACAGUCCAAAAUAUAUUAACCAACAUGACUCAUUCAGGAAACACUCCGAAUUACAGCAUUAAACUUAACAACGAGAACUGCAAGAAAAGCUGAUUCAAGAGAGAAGGAGUGAAUUCAUAUGUAGAACAAGAGCAAGAGAUCAUCAUUAACCGAUUCAGCUGCCCCUAAGUCAAGACAUCCUUUGUUCAUCUUAUGCCUUCUCAUGCUUGAAAGGGCGGCAAAAAAGGGUUGCUUUUCUUAUGGUUCCAUGCCCAAUGACAAUUCCGAUCAGAAUCGAACCUCAAACGCCACGAAUCAUACAAAAAACAUAGAAAUUUCUCCAUCUGUCGACACCCCAACUUUCUGCAUAAACAUUUCACAUGCACAGACCGUUCGAAACACAUGAGCAGUCCCAUACACUUAAUCUAUACGAUCAAACUUCGAUCAAGAGCGCUAACCAUAGUAUUGCCAAUAAAUUUGCAGGCACAGACAGAUCAGAUCAUGUUGGACCGUCGUGUUGACAUAUACAGUACAAAACAUCAAUCUCAGACCAUACACUUGAUCAGAACUCAUGGCAAGAACGAAUCUCCAUGUUCAAGCAGGAAGAAAGAAGAAGGGAGACUUACCCGGGUCGGGUCUGACGGUGGUCCGGACGGAGUAACCAUGUUCAAGGAGCCUCAUGAUGAGCCAUGAAGCUAUGAAGCCAGUACCGCCUGUCACGCACACCGUGCCUCUGUUGCCCUCCAUGGCUUGGAGAAGUAAGACGCUUCAAUUUUCAGGAAGCAUCCAACUUUUUUGAGUGACCUCGAUGAUUUGGCCAGCAGGGCGGGGGCGCCUCUCCACUUAAAAGCGGAUGCAACGCCGCUUACGUCACUUUGAUUUUCGUUUUCAAAAGGGGCCAAAAAAAAAAAAAUGAGUGGUAAGGGAUGCAUCUUCCCCGCUGAAAGUCAUCUUUCAAUUUGAGUAAUAAUCACUAAAUGUACUUUUCAAUCAUCCAUCGUGGACACAGUCCUAGACAAAUGAGUCGAUAGACAAGUGUCUCUCAACAUAAGGUUAUAUCCUAGACCAAUGAGUUUCUUCUGCUUGUCCGAUCCCCCCGGAUUCUUAAUUCAAUUUCGAGCCUUCCUCCUUCGAUCCCUCGGCUCCUUCUGUCGCUCGCCGAAUCCGCACGCUGACGUCGAUGGUUCCCUCCACGUCGUCGCGUAGCUCAUCAUGAUCCUCGCCGGCACGCUUCGUGCCGUUUCGACCCCACCCGCGACGCGGACGCUACCGGGCGCCUGCUCUGCUAUAUAGCGGGUCGCCCCGCCACUGUGAAAGCUGGAGGCCCCAGGGGAAGUGAUGGAUUCCGCAGAUUCUCGCCCCGAUGAGGAAGCUCCGUUGGUCGUCGCCGCCUCCGCCGAGGCCUCGCCGGCGGCGGCGGCGGCUCCGUCGCCUCGGGGGAGCCAUGUCCGGGACGUCCAUAUACUGAGCUGCGGGUUUCUGCUCAUCUUCUCGGCCUACGGGGCUGCUCAGAAUCUCGAGAGCACCGUGAACACUGUGAGUUCCGGUUUCGGCGACGUUUCCGUUGAAUCGCGGGCUCCAAGUUCGCAUUUUUUACUUCCCCGGGAAAGAAUUGAGAGAAAUCGACGAUCGACAAGUGAAAACCUAGUAGCAGAAUCUGGACUUCUGCGUCUGAGCUUGCUUUUAGGAAUUGUUCCUUUUUUUUUUUUUUCUCGUUUCUUACUUCGUUUGACGUUGCGUUUUGGUUUGAUGAGUUUCUUGAUUUUGUUGCAGACGGAUAAUAUGGGCGUGGGAGUCGAAACCCACUCUUGAAACUUACUCGUCCCCACCCCAUCCCCUGAGAAUGUGAGGAUUUGAACCCAUCACCUCUCCCUUCCAUGUUAGAAGGAUGGCUACUGGGCAAAUCCCAGUGAUUUACGAUAAAACUCUAAUUUAUGACUUUGUUAAAGACAAGGUACCCAAUUGCUACUAGACUACCACAUUUGAUGGUGCAACGACUUGACAUAUGUUGGAUUAUAUAUAUAUAUAUAUUUCUUAUUUUAACAUCUUAAAUUCUUCGAGAAAAAAAUAUUUGUUUAACAUGGUAUUAGAGCACAAGUGAUGAGGUCAAAUGCCUAGACUCCCUCCCACAUUUUGUAUGUUUAUCUGCCGUUGAUUAUUCGUAUAAUGUGAUUAUGCACCUAUCUCGUUAUUUUAAAUGUAAGUCAUGAUUCACACACAAUAAAGUGUGUUAAAUAAUAUAGUGUAUCAAUAUAGUUGGCAACCGUUUAAACAACUUAAAAAAAUUUCAAAAGAAAAAAUGAUUUGUGUCACUAUCUAUAGAUUUUUUUUUUAUUUCAUAAAAUUGAAUGAAUUGGUCAUUUCACUCUAGUUUUUCAUUCUAUCACCAAUCAACAGUUGGAAGGCAGUCUUACGACAUGGCUAGUGAUUAUUUCUUUUUUCUAUAGAGUGUCGGGAUCAUAACAAAUACACAAAAAGAUCUUAAUAAUUGUUUGUGAAAAUCAAUUUGCUGAUCGACGAUAGACAAAACAAUUAUCCGACACAUUAAAAUGCUUUAAUGAUAUAGAGUUGUGGGAAUCAAGAUGUCGUGGCACUAUACUAUACCAGUAAUGCCAUUCAUUUUGUGGAAUAUGUUCACCCAAUUAAGCGAUAUAAUUGUUUGCCUCGAAUAAUGAACUUGUUACCAAGACAAUUUGAACUUCUCUCUAUACAUAAAUUUAUAACCCUCAGAAAUUCUCAUUUGAAUCAAAGAAACCAUGAACACACGCUAGCAAAAUCAUUCAUGGUUCGACGAAGAGAUUUGUACGAUUCCAUCAUUACCGCGUCCCGAAAGAGGACGACCCUCGUCGUGCCUUUCGAUGUUAGCGGAGGUUUCCACAAUUCCCUGUCAUGAUCCUGCUCGAAUGCUAGCGGUGGGGUUGGCGCUCGGUCUCAAUCCAACGAAGGGGACCUUCCACGGCGAGAAACCCUACUUUUCAGCUCCGUUGAACUUGCUAUCCGGACCAGUGCCUAACCGGUGUCGAUCGUUUACACGAUCUUUAUCCUCACCCAGCUGUGCUUGGAGGGGGCACGCCUAGUUAGGUUAAUCAGUUCAUGUUGACUCUCUUUCCUGUGAUGAGACAAAGUUACUUUUCCUUUUGUCUUUCUCGUGCUCUCGUCCUUUCCUUUCCCCACUAUGGCCGUUCGAUCUGCACGCUGGUUCGCUUUCUCUGAAGAUGUGGGUGAUUCUACACUGACCCAGCAGCUGCAUUAGGCCCCUGCGGUAGCGCCAUUAGCAGUUGGACGUCCCUAUUAGAAAAAGACUCGCAUAGCAUCCGUUUCCACUUCCAGUAAUUGCACUCCCUUAUCUGCACUAUGUUCCUUGAUCAUCACGCAAUACACUUCCAGCUCCCAGGUGCACCUAUCGCUCCUACGACUGCACCAUCAGUAUUGAGCUUGUGCCAGCCUCCCCCCCGUCUUCCCAACCCAAUUCUUAUGUGCAGACGCAUCACCAAUGUGUGUCCGACAUUAGCACAUUAGCACCGAUCCAGUCCCUCAGGCUAAGAUCAUAACUAUGGUGAAGGGGAGAAGGAGCAUCAAUGUGAGCCCAACAUUCAUUGAGGACAUAGUGCUAACAUUCAAAUCUCUUCUCGCCAGAGUGGAUCUCGUGGCAAUGCUGUACGUGGCAUUAACGAAAUGAAAAAUCGAAUGCGAGGAACAGCAUCCACUUUCCACGCACAUCUCCAGUCUUCUUCCGGCUUUCUCCAAGCAUCCAAACCUUCAGCCAAAUGAUAAACAGCGUUCAAAGUAAAGCGCCAGUCCCUAGAGAAACUCCAACCGAAUUCAGAGUGCCCCUUGCCCCUCUUCCGAUCUGGACUGCCUUAUCAUAUUCGGAAUCUCGUUAGGAAGGGAUAAGAGAGUCUAGAAAAGUCCCAAACUCCCGUAGAAAUCAAACAAGUCCUUCACUUUCAACUCCAAAUCACUGACACGUCGAGGCUCAAUUACUAGAUCCCCUAAUGGACCAGACCCUGGUCAGAUGUCAAGUAGGCUUUCCAACUAGUGAGCCUAGUCCGAGCCUUCUCAAUGAUGAACCCGAAACGACAAGAACUAACACGAUCUGUAUGCAAAGUAAAUCCCGACUAGCAACACCAAGACAACCCAAGCCAUCUGUGGAGAUCGUCAUAAGCAGCAAUAGCAAUAAUACCAGAGAGUUAAAUCACGAUCAUCAUAUCAUAUCUCCAGAAAAGAAGACCUCGGAUUUACUGAAAAUUUAACCUUUUUCCCAGAAUCCUCACAGAAAGACUUGACAGUGUCUACGACCAAUUGACAACCAACCUCAGUAGCCUCUCCAAACGGAAAACAUUCCGCCAGUAAAGAAAAAUUGCGAGAAAGCCAAGGCCCCUCUCAAGGCCUUCAUCGGCUUCCAAUUGCCAUUGCGACAUUCCUCUGCAAAUAAAUAGCCUAGUAUUUCCAUAUAACGGAUAAACAGGUAAAGGGUAAAUAAGAUCACCUUGCUUUAAUCCCUACACGGCGAGAAAGGACAUAGCAUACCACCGUUCAUAAAUGAUAGUGGUAGAAGCAGUAGUGAUGCAAAUCGCACCUGUAUUCGAGAUCGAUUUUGACAGCAAAGGAACCGGUCCUUCGCUUCCGUAUGUUGCAUCAUAGAACAUCAUCAUGCGUUCACCUCCCUCGGGGAUGAAGCUAGCCCAGCAAGGACUAAUGAUAUCAUCAAGAAAAAGGCCUUAAGCGCCCGAUAAAUGAGCAAAGCGUUCCUAAUUUUUCCAGUUCAUCCCUUUUAUGAAGGCAAAACAUAAAUUUUAUAUUUUGGAUCCUCUUUUCUUUUCUUUUUUUCUGUGUAGCAUGGCCCAAAGGUAGCAUGUAACAAAUAAAAUGAACGAAGUUUUCAUGGAUUAAAGUUCAGUGAGAUCAAACAAAAUAAUUUUGCGAGUCAUAUUAGCUACUUAACUCUCUUUUAGCAUGACCUAAGAUUAUAAACAUCUCUAUUAAAUUUGUGCAAUUUGUGUAGUCUGAAAUAAACAAGGAGAAAAAUUCUUCUCGCCCCAUUUUUGUCUAUCCUCUACCCGAUUAUUGCAGCUUACCCAUUGCCCCAUGCUUCCUCCACGACCCCCCGAGACCAUCUCGACAGCCACCGUUUCUGAUAGCUACCUUCGCCUCGAUAAAAUAUUCGAUGGGUCCAUAGCGUUUACAUCAACUGCUGGUCAUGUUGCGAGUAUUUUUUACUCACGUCCGCUUAUAAAUUGACACGUGUUUGUUGAUGUGGAUGGGAAAAGACAAUUAAAAUAUGUUUCUACUUCCACCGACCUGUAACUCGAACGAGCCACCUCGCAUUUGUUUUUUCUUUUUGCCUUUUGAGGUCAUGGAUGAGCAAGGCAUGUGGUCAUGAUUGGCAGCGUCACCGGCCGGCCAUGAUAGCAGCAACAUCAAUAUGGACGAGCAAGGCUAGAGAGAAAUGUAAUGGGAGAAUGGUAAUAGUUCGAACAAUAUCGAAUCAACGCAGUGUAAUAAAAUAAUCUCACAUCUUAUGUAAACCUAAUAGGAAUCGAUAUGGUAGAGUAAAAUAAAUACCAAGCACGCGAACACAGGACGAUUUUUUUACGUGGAAAACCUCCUUGAUGUGAGGAGAUAAAAAACCACGGGAUUGGAGUCCACCUGAAAAUCUUCACUAUCAAUAAAAUUGUUCUUCUCUAGCAAAUACUAGAGGUACAUAGCAGCAAACACCUCAAGAACAUAAUUCUUGGCAAUACACAUGAACUUCACAAGAGAUCAAGGAUAAAUCUGACCAAAAACGUAGGUUUUGAUCAAUCCACAAAAAACCUGAUGUAUGGAGCUUCAAAUGAAAAUCAAACCGUUCAGAUUCAAUUAAAUUGCGCCACAAACAUGCUGACAAAAUUUCAGCUCAAUCGAACCACGAAUCGACCUCCAACGCCAGCUUGAUGUAAAUCAGAUAUUGCCCAAAACCCCAGAUUUUCUGCUUUCUCUUACUCUUUCCUUUUCUGCUACUACCUCUUUAUAUAAAUAGUGAGAAACCCUAUUUCUUCAUAUAACUUAUUAUAUGGACUCAAGUCCUUUUUGGGCUUGCAACUCAUUGGGCUUCCUCCACAUAGGAGUGAACCCAGCUAACAAAUCUCCCCAUCACGACAAUGUGGAGGGAUUCACUAUCCCUACUAUCAAACGGCAAUGUUCAAGCUUCUUUCUUGGUACAGUCUUCGUCAUCAUAUCAAAGCCAUUAUGAUCUGUAUGAAUUUUCUCAAGUUCCAACAACUUUUCAUCUAGAACAUCCCUUAUCCAAUGAUAUCUAACAUCAAUAUAUUUUGAUCUAGAAUGAAAAGAUGAAUUCUUACCAAGAUGAAUUGCGCUUUGAUUAUCACAAAAUAGCACAUACCUCUUUUGCUUGAACCCAAGUUCUUCUAAGAACUUCUUCAUCCAUAACAUCUCUUUACUAGCUUCAGUCGCUGCAAUAAAUUCAGCUUUGGUUGUAGAAAGUGCAACACACUUAUGCAAUCUUAACUUUCAUGACACAGCUCCACCCGCAAAAGAAAUCAAAUAACCAGAAGUAGAUUUACGAGUAUCAAUAUCUCCUACCAAGUCGGAAUCUGUGUAUCCAACUAACUCAAGUUUCCCGGUCCCGAAACUGAGUUUCAAAUUUGAAGUUCCCCGAAGAUACCUCAUAAUCCACUUCAAUGCAUUCCAGUGCUCUCUGCCUGGAUUUGAUAAAUAACGACUAACAACGCCAACUGUGUGCGCCAAGUCUGGGCGUGUACAUACCAUCGCAUACAUUAAGCUUCCUAAAGCAUAUGGAAUACUUUCCAUAUCUUUCUUUUCUUUAUCAGUCGUAGGACUUUGCAUCAUAUUUAACUUAAAGUGGGUAGCAAGAGGAGUACUAACCACUUUAACCUUGUCCAUGUAAAAUUUCUGAAGGAUCUUCUCGAUAUAUUUCUCUUGCGACAAAAAUAACUUCUUAGCAUCUCUGUCUCGGGUAAUUCUAAUGCCAAGAAUCUGCUUCGCCGAGCUCAAGUCUUUCAUGGCAAAAGACUUGCUCAACUGUUUCUUCAAUAACUCAAUUCUUGAAGCAUUAUUGCCAACAAUCAGUAUAUCAUCAACAUAAAGCAAGAGAAUAAUAAAGUCAUCAUCAGAAAUUUUUUUGACAAACACACAGUUAUCCGAGGAAGUCUUCUUAUAGCCUUGUUCUGUCAUAACUGACGCAAAUUUCUUAUACCACUGCCUCGAUGCUUGUUUUAGGCCAUAGAGACUUUUCUUCAAUUUGCACACAUAAUCCUCUUUCCCUUUCACUUUGAAACUCUUAGGUUGUUUCAUGUAUAUCUCUUCCUCCAAGUCACCAUGUAGGAAGGCCGUUUUAACAUCCAUUUGCUCAAUUUCUAAAUCUAGGCUAGCUGCCAAGCCUAGUACCACACGAAUAGAAAAUAUUUUCAAUACCGGAGAAAAUAUAUCAUCAAAAUCAAUACCCUUUCUCUAACCGAAUCCCUUAACAACCAAUCUAGCUUUGAACCGUGGUUGUAAGGUAUGUUCAUCUUGCUUCAACCUAUAUACCCACUUGUUCUUCAAAGCUCUUUUACCUUUAGGUAACUUCACCAAUUCAAAAGUAUGAUUAUCAUAAAGUGACUGCAUCUCAUCUCGCAUAGCAUCGAACCAAUUACUUCUGUACUCAUCUUCUAUUGCUUCCGCAUAGCACUCUAGUUCACCUGCAUCAGUCAAUAAUACAUACUUAUCUUUAGAAUACCUGAUGGAAGGUCGUCGGUCUCUAACAAAUAUCUGGACUAGAACAUCCAGUGGAAUAUCUAAUUGAGUCUCUGGUUCAGGAAUAGUAUUAUCUACUUCAACAUGUUCAGAAACAUGUGCGUUAUUUGGAACAUUGACUUCCUGCUGCUCUUCAUCAACUUGUGUAGGAAUAUUUGUAAGAGGAACUGGAUCUAAAUCAACCAGAUUAUUACUAACCUGUGAUGCUGAAAUCAUCUUUGAUUUCUCAAUAUUUUCUAUUGUUUGAUCUUCUAUAAACACAAUGUCUCUGCUUCUUACAAUUUUCUUUUCAAGUGGAUCAUAAAAUUUGUAGCCAAGCAUAUCCUGUCCAUAACCAAUAAAUAUGCACUGUCGUGUUUUCACAUCAAGUUUAGACCUCUCAUCUUUGCAAAUAUGCACAAAUGCUUUGCACCCAAAUACACGCAAAUAAUCAUAAGAAACUUCUUUGCUUGUCCAAACUCUAUUAGGAACAUCAAACUCUAAAGGAACGCAUGGAGUAAGAUUUAACACAUACACGACGGUCCUUAAAGCCUCACCCCAAAAGGAUCCAGGUAGUUUUGAUUGUGAAAGUAAGCAUCUUACCCUUUCAACCAGUGUUCUGUUCAUUCUCUCAGCUAAGCCAUUUAACUGAGGUGUCUUAGGAGGUAUCGUUUGAUGUUGAAUACCUUGUUGUCCGCAGUAUUCAUCAAAAGGUCCAAUAUACUCUCCCCUGUUAUCAGUUCUGAUGCAUUUCAAUUUCUUUCUAGUCUAUUUUUCAACUGAAGCCUGAAAUUGCUUAAAAGCAUCUAACAUUUGAUUUUUAGUUUUCAAGGUAUAAAUCCAAAUUUUCCUUGAAAAAUCAUCUAUAAAAGUAACAAAAUAAAGAGAGCCACCAAGUGAUUUUGUUUUCAUUGGACCGCAAACAUCAGAAUGCACUAAAUCCAAUAUACCUGACUUUCUUGAAUGAGGGGAGCUUUUAAAUGCAACUCUAUUCUAUUUUCCUGCUAAACAAUGAGCACACUUCUUUAGCGCUGAACUUUUCAAUCCUGAAAGAAGCUUCUUCUUGGCCAAUAUUGAUAAACCAUUCUCACUUAUGUGACUGAGCCUCUUAUGCCAUAACUCAGCUGCAUCUUCGCUAUCUACUGCAUUAAUUUUGUCUGUAGACAACUUUGCUUGCAUAAUGUAUAAUGAAGAAUUCACCUCUAGCCACAACAAGAGAACCUUUGGUAAGUUUCCAUUGACCAUUACUAAAGGUGCUGCAAUACCCCUCAUCAUCCAACUUGCCUGUAGAAAUUAAAUUCAAGCGGAUAUCAGGUAUAUGUUUAACAUUAUUCAAUACUAACCUUGUGUCAUUGUUGGUUUCUAGGCACACAUCACCGAUGCCUACAGCUUGAGCUAGUCCAUUGUUUCCCAUCUUCACAGAUCUGAAGUCACCUGACUUGUAUGAUGUAAAGAAAUCCCUACGAGAUGUAGCAUGAACAGAUGCAUCACUAUCAAUUACCCAAUUGGUCUCAUGAGAAACAAAAUUCACCACAUCACCAUCAAAAAUAGUGAGAAAGUCUUCUUUAAGUGCAACGACACGAUUGUCAUCACUGUCAUCAUCACUUUUCUUCUCUUUACCUUUCUCCUUUUAAUUCUCCCUUUUUAACUGGCGACAAAACCUCUGAAUAUGUCCCUUCUGAUGACAAUAAUGGCACUCAAUAUUAGCAAAUUUAUUAUACUUACCUCUGCUCUUGUCUCGACUUUUAUCUCUAUUUCUCGGACCUCGAGACUCACUUCUCCCCAUUUUCUCAACAACGAAGGCAUCAAAAUGUGAAGACGACGAUCCCUGUGUCUUCCUUCUCAUUUCUUCAUUCAAAAUACUUCUCUUGGCUAAAUCCAUGGUAAUUGUACCAUCUGGGGCAGAAUUAGACAAAGAUGUUCGGAACGUCUCCCAUGAGUCCGACAAAGUACCAAGCAACCAUAGUGCUUGUAUCUCAUCAUCAAACUUGAUUCCCAUCCAACUGAUUUAUAAUUCCUUGAAAAGAAUUUAAAUGAUCAGUCAAACAAGUACCAUCAUGAUAUCUCAAAGCCAUAAUCUGUUUUAUAAAAAAUAACUUAUUAUUCCCAGUCUUUCGAGCAUAUAACUGUUCGAGCUUAUCCCAUAAACUGCGUGCAUGUGUUUCAUCAAUAAUAUGGUUCAAAACAUUAUCAUCUACCCACUGCCUGAUAUAACCACACACUUGACGAUGAAAUAUAGACCAUUCAACAUCAGUUUUAUUCUCUGGUUUCUCCUCAGCAAAUACAGGCAAAUAAAAAUCUUUCACAUAUAAAAGAUCUUCCAUCUUCCCUUUCCAGAUAUGAUAAUUUGAACCAUUCAGUGUAACCAUUCUACUAGUAUUCAUUUCCAUUGUUUAACACAAGGCAGAAAAAUCAAGUAAUAACCUAUUGCUCUAAUACCACUCUGAUGGGAGAACGGUAAUAAUUCGAACAAUAUCGAAUCAACGCAACGGAAUAAAAUAAUCUCCCCUCUUGUGUAAACCUAAUAGGAAUCGAUAUAGUAGAGUAAAAUAAAUACCAAGUACGCGAACACAAGACGAUUUUUUUACGUGGAAAAUCUCCUCGAUAUGAGGAGAUAAAAAAACCACGAGACCGAAGUCCACCUAAAAAUAUUCACUAUCAAUAAAAUUGUUCUUCUCUAGCAAAUACUAGAGGUACAUAGCAGCAAAUACCUCAAGAACAUAAUUCUUGGCAAUACACAUGAAUUUCACAAUAGAUCAAGGAUAAAUCUGACCAAAAACACAGGUUUUGAUCAAUCCACGAAAAACCUGAUGUAUGGAGCUUCAAACAAAAAUCAAACCGUUCAGAUUCGAUUAAAUUGCGCCACGAACAUGCUGACAAAAUUUCAGCUCAAUCAGACCAUGAAUCGACCUCCAACGCUAGCUUGAUGUAAAUCAGAUAUUGCUCAAAACCCCAGAUUUUCUGCUUUCUCUUACUCUUUCCUUUUCUGCUGCUACCUCUUUAUAUAGAUAGUGAAAAACCCUAUUUCCUCAUAUAACUUAUUAUAUGGGCUCAAGUCCUUUUUGGGCUUGCAACUCAUUGGGCUUCCUCCACAUAGGAGUGAACUUAGCUAACAAAAUGUCCAUGCCCGACCAUUUUGUUUGGCCAGAUCCGGUCGGCUCUGUCUCCCGUCGCCAAGGUCGCAGAUCCGAACCACCAACGAGUUCCACCUUCUACCUUAGACGGGAAGACGGAACCAAGGGGCGAGUUCCUCCUUCUCCAUGGCAAUAGAGCUCUUAAUGGGCCUUUGAGAUCACUAGCCCUUCGAGUUGGAUGGCACCAUCCCGUCACACCAUCUCCGCCCCUUAAUGGGCAUCGCUCGUGAUCAGCCUAAGCAACUCGCCCCGCCGUGUUGCUUGUCCAGAUAUGGUUUCGCCCAUGGCCACAAACCUUGCUCAGCAUAGCUCGUGAGGCGGCUCAUCCACAGACUGCAACUCGUCCAUGGCUACGAACCCUUGAUGAUGAACUCGGAAUUCCGACAGCCGUGAUCAGUAAACAAGCGCAAGCCUGGAUGGCCGGAUAGCGCUCUAUGGAUGGAGGAAGAGACAAGUCAACGUCCACAUGUCAACUUAAAAUCAGACCCGUCAGCAGCUAAUGUGGCGCUACGAAAUCACUUCAUAGUUUCUCCACCUUUGUCCAACAUCCGAUAACGAAAUCACUUCAUAGUUUCUCCACUCUCUCUCUCUCUCUCUAUGCAUGCGCAGGCCAGAGUGCACAGAGGCUUGAUUACCAUUGACGGGACUCCUUCAAAUCUUUGCAUCAGGCAAGCUUGGAGGGCGACCCAAAAUUUACAUAGACGCCUCCACGGCAAGAGGGUUCUCAUAGGGUAAUCAGUUUCCUGUAUGUUCCAAUUUCCUAAAAGAAAACCGAACCAGGACCGGACUGAGAAUCGGACCACACCUUCCAAUCCGGUAAAAUCAGUUACUUAAUUUUUCCUAUUACUUAGAACUGGAUCAAGAUAAUAUUUAGUUUACAUUUUAUUAAUUUUUUAAGAAAUAAUAUAAUAAAAAAGUAUAUUUAGUUAGUCAUGUUUGGUUUGAUCCAGUUUCCCCUUGGAACUAGGAACCCAAUUAGGGUAUUUUGCACACCUCUAUCUCACACUAUCGAGAUCUAGAUGAGAGCAAUGUCCACAUGUCUUGUUGGCAAAAUCUAAUGCCUCCAUCCCUUGGAUGAGUGACAAUGCGCAGAGAGAGAGAGAGAGAGAGAGAGAGAGAGUUGCGUGGAGAGGGAGAGAAGGGCAUCGACAGUUGCUCAAAGAAGAGGAGAGGGAGAAAGGCAAAGUCAGCUAAAGUUUGGCGAAACCAGCGGCAAAAUAAUACUGUUAAUCCGUCAAUUUUGACCAAGUUAUUGCUUUUGAUUUGUUUAUUAUGAUUCUUCAAUUAUUUUUCAUGUUCGAUAUAAUUUCUUAAACUUUUGAAUUUUUAAUCUAAUUUCUCAAUUUCCUUAUAAAGUCAAAUCAAUCAUUUAGUGCGAUUAAUAGGUUUUCGUAAGCGGGUUUUUUUUAAUAUCUUUUCAUUUCAAUAGUUUUUCUCCAAAAAAAAUUAAUAAUUUUAUAUUACUUUGUGCCUUUUUGGUUUUUAUGAAUAUCACGAUAACUCAAUCAAAAUCUUGAUAAUUGUAAAGUGUAGCUAAUAAUCUCUAAAAUAGUAAAAUUAGAAUCCCAUUUGAAGCUGUGUUACAUUGGUAUUCCUAUUCUGUUAUUUAUAUAUGCUUUCAUAUUGACAUCUAUAAAUGAUAUUGAUUUAUCUGUAGAUAUAUGUAUUUGUAUUAAUCUAAAUCGUGUUAUUUAUUAAACAAAUAUGGAACAAGAUAUAAGACACUGAAAUUUUUAUUAAUUUGAAAAAUGAGGAACCUUGUUCUUGAAAGUGAUUGACUACGAAGUAGCGAUACCAUCCGGGAACCUUUGUAUCAUGUGGACACUUUGACACAUGUCUAACAUUUGGUCAACAGGUAUCAAAAUCAAUUUUCCCGAUACUCUUUGACACGUGAGAGGGAAUUCUAACAUCUGUGUUCCAAAUUAUAAUACGCAAUUCUAACAAGCAUGUGAUCAAUUUUUAAAUUUUUUAAUAAAUGAGGGGUUAAAAUAUAAAUAUGUAAAAAAAAAUUUAAAAAAAAAAGAGGAAAAAAGAAAAACAUAAUCUUCUCUUUUUUUUCUCUUUUUUUCUAAGUCUCACUUCCCGUGACACGCAAUUCAUCCUUAAUGUUUAUUUUUUCUUUUCUCUUCUGACACGCUCUAACACGCAAGUCCCAAACGUGAAUUGCUAUUUUUUUCCCUCCAAUUUUAUGCAUUAUUAGAAUAUAAUUGAAUUUGUCAAAUUGAAAUAAUGAAUGAUAUUAACAAAAUAUGGAUUAACGUUAUUGGUGUAAAUUCAUUCUACACACUUUUUUUAUUAUAUAUUUAUUUUUGAAUUUAAUUAAAAUAAUCAUAAAAAUAAUAAUUUAUCAUGUAUUUAUAAACAUAUACAUUUAAUAUAUACCGCGUUUCAAUGUGCCGGAAUUCUUUAUUUUUGAAGAAUCAAUGUGUCGGCAUGUCAGGUCGCAUGUGGUGUGUUAGUAUCAAUACUUUCUUGAAGAAUGAAAGUGUGUUUUCAGUAGUACUCCCAGUAGGAAAGGCAGAGUUGCUUGAUUGAGCAUGGAUUAAAAAAGACAGUGGAGAUGUUAUCGAUUUCUUAUAGCACAUGGCAACAUAGAUGGUGCAUUAAGCUUCGGAAACAGAAAUCCUCAACAAUAUUCACGAAGAACAGAAGGCACAUAUAUCAUGAUCUAUGCUAUAAGUGCUUCUGUUCUCAGUACUGCAAUAUCAAAUGCAUAAGAACAGAAACAUACAGUACCAAGAUUAUUUACACGGUUUGCUAUCUCCUAUAUGGCGCUCAGAUAAAUUAGUUUUCACAAGCUGUGCUAGAUACAAGGUACGCAUUUUCUCAACAUGUUUCUCUAUUCAUUCUGCAUUUUGUUUACAGGACUAUUUUCAGCCAAGGUCAGAAAAGAAAUAGGUCAUACCAUUAAACGGCAUCAUGUCCACUUUCUGGUACCCUGAACAUUCCGACGUUCGGCCUGAUGUACUGAAUUCCGUAGGCUUCAGUUGAUCUAGAGAUACCCCUUUUCUUUGCAGCAUUGGAUGGCUCCGUUGAACAUGUCCUCGAUCCUGUACUUAUACUCAAAACCGGCGUCCACCAGUUUCCUUGACGAUAGGCGGGGGAACCUGGGGCCUUUCAAUUCCUUCAAGGACCUACAAAGAUUUGAAAAGCUUUGCUUUCAGUCCAAGAACAGGAAUAAUCUGUUACAUCAUGAAAUAGGAUAUAUCAGGACUUACUCUGGAGAGGGUAUCCGAAACUCCGGGUAUCUUUCUGAGAGAAACUUGGACAUCUCCUCGAUGGUCAUCGUGGCCGAGGUACAAAUGUACCGCCCCUUGGUGUCGGGGUGCUGGAAGAGGAAGAUGUUUGCUCUCACCAAGUCAUCUACAUGCACGAAAGAUACUUCGAGAAGAAGAGAGUACUCAUUCUCGUUCCCUGUUAAUUUCGAACGAAGUCAAUCUAAGAUUUGAGAUUCUUUGUAUCAUCGAAAUGAAGAUAAACGUAUGGAUGGACAGAUUAUAGUCCUGUCUCCCUUUGUCAUAUACUUGACAAUGAGCAGAGAAACGUUGUCAAAUUAUGGAAUUCUGGUAUUGUUCUGGUGACCAAAACAAUCAAAUUAAUCAUCAAUUUGACUGCAGUACCAAAGGUGUAUCACAAAAAGUUAUUGUAAAAUCAAUAGAUCAUGGAGAUCAAUAUUAUAUGAACCAGAGUUUCUCUGUGAAUUUCACAUGAUCAACAGUUCAGAUAGAUUUGACUGACCCUAUUUAUAUUCAUCAUAUGAUAUUUUCUCGUGUAUCGCAUUACCUAAUACCAAAGCCAGCGAAAUUCGGACGGAUCCAGCGAACUUGGGGCAAAUGAAGGGCCCGUGGACAAACGUGGGAACCACCGUCACCACUUCCAGUCCGUGCUGCUCUCCGAACUCAAGAACCGCCUUCUCAGUCAAUGUCUUUGAGAUUGCGUAGGAAGCUCCAAUCCUCGUCAUUUCUCGGAUGGACUCAAAAUUGCUCCAGGAGUCCUCAUCCAAUAUAUCGGCCCCAGAGUUGUUAUAUUGAAUUGCAGCCGCACUCGAAGUGUACACGACCCGCUUCACCGUCUUGGAGUUCAGGCAGGCCCUUAGGAUGCCCAACGCUCCAUCGAUGGAUCUUUUGGUGACGACCGGCUCUGGCUCUCUGUCCUCGAAGUCCACCGGGGUGGCAACAUGGAAGACUCCGACACAGCCCUCGAUGGCUGGGCUGAAACUCUCGGGGUCACUGAGAUCAGCGGUUAGGAUUUGGAGCCUUUCUGAUGCUCCGGGUAGAUUUUUCAAGAAGCUCGUGUCCCUUUUGCCAUCUGACCGGAACAAAUCGGUCAAUGGCUUUGCGAAUAAAAGCUCAAACAUCUAAUGGGAAACUGAUGUGUGAGGUAAACUGGAGAUAGCAGUCCAAAAUAAAUUAACCAACGUGACUCAUUCAGGAAACACUCCGAAUUACAGCAUUAAACUUAGCAACGAGAACUGCAAGAAAAGCUGAUUCAAGAGAGAACGAGUGAAUUCAUAAUGUAGAACAAGAGCAAGAAAUCAUCAUUAACCGAUUCAGCUGCCCCUAAUUCAAGACAUCCUUAUCUCAUCUUAUGCCUUCUCAUGCUUGAAAGGGCGGCAAAAAAGGGUUGCUUUUCUUAUGGUUCCAAGCCCAAUGACAAUUCCGAUCAGAAUCGAACCUCAAACGCCCGAACCUGACAAAAUACAUAGAAAUUUCUCCAUCUGUCGACACCCCAACUUUCUGCAUAAACAUUUCACAUGAACAGACCGUAAACACAUGAGCAGUCCCACACACUUAAUCUAUACGAUCAAUCUUCGAUCAAGAAAGCUAACCUUAGUAUUGCCAAUAAAUUUGCGGGCACAGACAGAUCAGAUCACGUUGGACCGUCGUGUUGACAUAUACAGUACAAAACAUCAAUCUCAGACCAUACACUUGAUCAGAACUCAUGGCAAGAACGAAUCUCCAUGUUCAAGCAGGAAGAAAGUGUUAGUAGUAUUAUGCCCUAUAUUAACUUGUUUAUUUAAAAAAAAAAAAAAAAAGCUUCAUGCAUGUGCACGAAUUCGUGCACAUGCACGAAGCGUANNNNNNNNNNNNNNNNNNNNNNNNNNNNNNNNNNNNNNNNNNNNNNNNNNNNNNNNNNNNNNNNNNNNNNNNNNNNNNNNNNNNNNNNNNNNNNNNNNNNNNNNNNNNNNNNNNNNNNNNNNNNNNNNNNNNNNNNNNNNNNNNNNNNNNNNNNNNNNNNNNNNNNNNNNNNNNNNNNNNNNNNNNNNNNNAGAGUUAAAGAGGGUUGUUGAAAAACAGAGAAAAGAGUUAGUGUGUUUUUUGGUUUUGUUCGAGAGAAACACAAGCGAGAAAUCAGUGAUGCUUUGCUGAAAAUAGAAAGCAAAGUGCAUGCGUGUUCUUUUGUCUUUGAGACACGAGGAAGAGAAACAAUUCUCUCGUUCGGGCCGUGACUAUUAUACACCAAGAAUACGACGGAUUCUUUUCACGUGAUUGCUAGCACGAUCGAAGUGGUGGAUAUCCGAAAGUUCUCCCUUCCGUUCAACGUUCGUUGUUGGUGUGUCUGAACUAGAGGUCCGACGCUUGUGGGACUCGUACUGUAGAACAUCCGAACCGACUUGUUUCAAAGCGCGCUUCUAGAGGUAUUUCAUUUAACUCCCUUUUAUGUUUAGAUUUUUGAUUGAAACGCACAAACAACGCCUAAGGAAAAUCAUGUGUAAAAUAUAUAUUUGUUUCCGCUGCGUACUUUAUGUUAAUAUUUCUUAUACAUGAUUAAUGAAAACCCAACAGAAAGAAGAAGGGAGACUUACCCGGGUCGGGUCUGACGGUGGUCCGGACGGAGUAACCAUGUUCAAGGAGCCUCAUGAUGAGCCAUGAAGCUACGAAGCCAGUACCGCCUGUCACGCACACCGUGCCUCUGUUGCCCUCCAUGGCUUGGAGAAGUGAGACUUCAAUUUUCAGGAAGCAUCCAACUUUUUUGAGUGACCUCGAUGUUUCGGCUGGCAGAACGGGGGGCGCUUCUCCACUUAAAAGCGGAUGCAACGCCGCUUACGUCACUUUGAUUUUCAUUUUCAAAAGGGGCCAAAAAAAUAAAUGAGUGGUAACGGAUACAUCUUCCCCUGAAAGUCAUUUUCCAUUUGAAUCAUAGACACUCAAUCUACUUUUCAAUCAUCCAUUGUGGACGCAAUCCUACACCAAUGUGUCAAUAGACAAGUAUCUCUCGACAUUAAAUGCCUAUGACACAAGUUGGCUAGAGAUUCAUACUCAAUAAAACUCUAAUUUAUGACUUAAUUAAAGACAAGAUACCCAUUUGCUACUAGACUACCACAUUCGGUGGUACAACGACUUGACAUAUGUUGGAUAAUAUUUUUUAACAUCUUAAAUUCUUUGAAAAAAAAAUACUUGUUUAACAUGGUAUUAGAGCACAAGUGACAAGGUUGAAUGCCUAGACUCCCUCCCAUGUUUUGUAUGUUUAUCCAUCCUCGAUUUUUCGUUUGAUGUGAUUAUGCACCUAUCUCGUAUUUCAAAUGUAAGUCUUGAUUCACACACAAUAAAGGGUCUUAAAUAAUAUGGUGCAUCAAUAAUGUUGGCAACCAUCUAAACAGCUUAAAACUUUUUCGAAAGAAAAAAUGAUUUGUUUCACUAUCUAUAGAUCUUUUGAUUUCUUAGAAUUCAAUGAAUUCGUCAUUUCAUUCAAGUUUUUCACUUUAUCACCAAUCAAUAGUUGGACGGAAGUGUUACAACAUGAUCAGCAAUUAUUUCUUUUUUCUACAAAAUGUCAGGAUCAUAACAAAUACACAAAAAGAUCUUAAUUGUUUGUGAAAAUUAAUUUGCCGAUCGAUAAUAGAUAGAACAACUGCCCGACACAUUAAAAUGCUUUAAUGAUAUAGAGUUGUGGGCAUCAAGAUAUCGCGGCACUAAACUAUACCAAUAAUGCCAUUCAUUUUGUGGAAUAUGUUCACCCAAUUAAGCGAUAUAACUGUUGGCCUCAAAUAAGAGAAUAUCCUAAUGAACUUGUUACCGAGACAAUAUGAACUUCUCUCUAUACAUAUUUUUAUAACCCUCAGAAAUUCUCAUUUGAAUCAAAUAAACCAUGAACACACUGGCAAAAUCAUUCAUGGUUUGACGAAGAGAUUUGUACGAUUCCAUCAUUAUCGCGUCCCAAAAGAGGACGACCCUCGUCGUGCCAUUCGAUGUUAGUGGAGGUGUCCACAAUUCUCUGUCAUGGUCCUGCUCGAAUGCUGGCGGUGGGGUUGGCGCUCGGUCUCAAUCCAACGAAGAGGACCAUCCAUGGCGAGAAACCCUACUUUUCAUCUCAAUUGAACUCGCUAUCCGGACCAGUGCAUGACCGGUGUCGAUCGUUUACACGAUCUUUAUCCUCACCCAGCUGUGCUUGGAGGGAGCACGCCUAGUUAGGUUAAUCAGUGCCUGUUGACUCUCUUUCCUGCGAUGAGACAAAGCUACUUUUCCCUUUUGUCUCUCUCGUGCUCUCGUCCUUUCCUUUCCCUCAAUAUGGCCGUUCGAUCUACACGCUGGUUCGCUUUCUCUGAAGAUGUGGGUGAUUCUACACUGACCCAGCAGCUGCAUUAGGCCUCUGCGGUAGCGCCAUUAGCAUUUGGACGUCCCUAUUAGAAAAGACUCACAUAGCAUCUGUUUCCACUUCAAGUAAUUGCGCUCCCUUAUCUGCACUAGGUUCCUUGAUCAUCACGCAAUACGCUUCCAGCUCCCAGGUGCACCUAUUGCUCCUACGACGGCACCUUCAGUAUUGAGCUUGUGCCAGCCUUCGUGGAGGUCACUUCCAAGGAUGAACAGCUCUAUUCCUAGCUCCUCCUCCCCCACUUUUGUUCCCAACCCAAUUCUUAUGUGCAGACGCAUAACCAAUCUGUGGCCAACAUUAGCGCCGGUCCAGUCCCUCAGACUAAGAUCAUAACUAUGGUGAAGGGGAGAAGGAGCACCAAUGUCAGCCCAACAUUCAUUAAGGAGAGAUAGUGCUAACAUUCGAAUCUCUUCUCGCCAGAGUGGAUCUCGUGGCAAUGCUGGUAGUGACAUUAACCAAAUGAUGAGGAACAACAUCCGCUUUCCACGCGCAGCUCCAGUCUUCUUCCAGCUUUCUCCAAGUAUCCAAGCCUUCAGCCAAAUGAUAAGCAUCGUUCAAAGUAAAGCGCCAGUCCCUAGAGAAACUCCAACCGAAUUCAGAGUGUCCCUUGCCCCUCUUCCGAUCUGGACUGCCUGGGUCCAUUACCGUUAUUCUAUAAGCGCUCGGAUAAAGUCGCGAUCCGCCGUGCUUACCUGGGUCGGGACGGAUGGUGGCCCGGACCGAGUAACCCUUCUCGAGGAGCCUCAUGAUCGUCCAUGUAGCCAAGUAUCCAGUCCCGCCCGUUACACACACCAUGCCUUUACCGCUCUCCAUCAACGACUCUCUCUCUCUCUCUUUCCCAAGCUAGCUUGUGAUGGAAAUGGUGCUUUUUUAUGCUACUGGAGAGAGGUGGCCGACAGUAGCCAGGAAAGAAUGUUAGAUAUUUCGCCGCAUAUGUAACAGGGUUUGUGGACAUUCAUUAUGAGAUCCUGAAUUAAAUCGCUUGAGAGUGUUCGCUUUGACCAAUUCCAUGUCGAGCUUCGUGGUUGUCCUUUAACGAACGGGGAAGUAAUUUCUCAUGAGGUUACCAAUCUUGGAAGCUAUGAAACAUCGACACACCUCAAGAGCUUUUGUGUCGUGUCGGACACUUCGAUACAUGUCCGACACUCUCCAACACUUUCGGACACUCUCUGACACUCAGUCAACACAUGUCGGAAAAUCCAACACUUAGUCAACUUUUCUAACACUCUCCAACACUUGAGUCGAAAUUCUAACAUGCGAGUUUCUAACACAAGAUUUUUAUAUUGAGGUCAAUUUUAAAAAUUCAAUAAAUGAGAGGUCAAAAUAUUUUCACACACAAUAAUAAAAAUAAUAAAUGGAGAAAGAAGAAAAACCCAAUCUUCUUUUAUCUUUUGACUCCCACUUCCUGUGAUACACAAUUUUACCUCUUAAGUUUUUUUCAUCAUCUUCCAACAUAUAUAACAUGCGAGUCCAGAAAUAUAGACUGCUUGUUUUUUCUCUAAGUUUUAUGAAUUAUUGAAAUAUAAUUGAAUUUGUCAAAUUGAAACAAUAAAUGAUAUUAAUAAAUGGCGAAUUAAUGUUUUUAGUGUAUAUUCAUUCUAGGCUUAUUUAUUUAUUUAUUUAUUUAUUUAUUUAUGAAUUUGAUUAAAAUUAUCUUGAUUGAAAUAAUCAUAAAUAUGAUAAUUUUAAUAUGCAUGUCCCAACGUGUCGGAAUUCUCUAGUUUUUGAAAAAUGAUGUGUCGACGUGUCGUGUCGUGUGGUAUCGUGUUGCGUGUCGAUGCUACUUAGCUUGGAAGUGCCUUAAUUUGAGCUCACUUAACUUUGAAGUUCCAAAGCAAAUUUUAACAUUAUAUCAAAAAAAGCCUCUGUAAGUUAGUUUUUGCACAAUUCGGUUCAGUACAUAAUUCAGUUCAUUCAUACACCCUUCACCAUCCUAAAAGCUCGUCACGAGCCACUCAUUGUCUAGGCCUUCUAGCCCCGGCAACUACUCCCCACUCUUAUCGGAUCGAGUUGUUAUGUUUAUAAUGUAGGAUCCAUUAUCGUUAUUAUUAGAAGAUUUAAAUUUACAAAUAGAGAAGAUUGGCAUUCGCUCUGACGGAUGAUGACCACUCCCGUUCCCCUUCCCCUUCCGCAUACGCAACCAUAUGGAAAGCAAAGGACCCCCUUGAAUAGUUUGCAAGCGAUAGCAUCGAAAAAUUGGAGCCUUUACUCAGUCUAGAAUCGGCGUGAAGACCGGAAUUUUUUUUAUUUUUUUUGGCGUGUGAAGACCGGAAAUUUGAAGACCGAGCAGUAGUAUACCAGUCGUUCCGGCACGGUUGAAAUACUAAUUCCUAGAUGAACGGAUUUCAACUUCAUGCACGGUCGGAUCAUAGCAUUGACACAGGGAACGAUUAGUUUUUCUUGCCCUUUUAGAUAAACAGUCUGCAGCGUGGGCAACCAUGCUUGGUAGUACCCACUUGAAUGAAGGUCAACCUGUUGUUCAACCUCUGCCUCUUUCGCGGCUCUGAUUUAGUUUAUAGGAGAUGCAGAAAUGGAGAUGUUCAUCAAAUCUAUAGAUCAGGAAGCAUGGAAAGUCAUUGAAAAUGGACCAUGCGCUGCAUCAAACGAAGGAAGAGAUGAUAUUCAUGAGAAGGAACUAGCGCAAGCUACAAAUCUGGGCAUAGGCUCGAUUGCACUCCAACGCGGGCUGAAUAUAAUUAGAUAUCAAUGUGGAGAACAGCGAUGGAGAUUCGGGAUGGAUCGGGGGUAACCAGUGAGGAAACCAAAAGUGAAGAAGAGUUAAAUUAUCUCAGCUGAUGCGCUUAACUCGAAGGAGCAUACCAACUCUCCAAGUAAUGUUUAUACUGACUAGAAAAAUUUGAGCGUUUUCUUUAGGACUUUAGGGGCAAAAGAAAUUGUCACGGGACAAUGACGAAAGCAACGGGGACAAAACGGAGGUAAUUUGCUUUGCUUUGCUUGUAAGAAAUUAGGACAUGUCAAGUUCGAGUAUCCUGCUUGCACGAGGAGGAGGGAGGAAAUCAAAGAAAUACAGGGCAAUGGAAUCAACUUGGAGUGAUCUUGGUAUCUCUAGUGAAAAGGAGAGAAAAGGCGAACUUGUGUUUAAUGGCUAGUAGCCUAGUACCAAUGCUAUGGAAUAGGUAAACGAUUUCCUAGAUUGGUGAUGCUUUUUGAUGACGAUUUUGAUUUUGCCUUGGAAGAAAUGUAAGUUGAGUGGAAAAGGGUUUCGACAAUGAACGUUGUAUUGAAUAAGGAAAAUGGUUCUAUGCAAUACUUUCUUGAAGAAUGAAAGGGUGCUUUCAGUAGUACUUCCAAUAGGAAAGGCAGAGUUGCUUGAUAUAGCAUGGAUUAAAAAAGACAGUGGAGAUGCUAUCGAUUUCUUACAGUACAUGGCAACAUAGAUGGUGCAUUAAGCUUCGGAAACAGAAAUUCUCAACAAUAUUCACGAAGAACCAAACACACGUAUAUCAUGAUCUAUGCUAUAAGUGCUUCUGUUCUCAGUACUGCAAUAUCAAAUGUACAAGAACAGAAACAUACAGUACCAAGAUUAUUUAUGCGGUUUGCUAUCUCCUAUAUGGCGCUCGGAUAAAUUAGUUUUCACAAGCU
rnacentral:lncRNA from 1 species